ensembl:lncRNA
GUUGGAGUGGUCCAGCAGGGGGCGCUGUAGUUGGGGAAGGGUAAGGUUGGAGUGGUCCAGUAGGGGGCAGUCUAGUUGGGGAAGGGUAAGGUUGGAGUGGUCCAGCAGGGGGCGCUGUAGUUGGGGAAGGGGAAGGUUGGAGUGGUCCAGCAGGGGGCGCUGUAGUUGGGGAAGGGUAAGGUUGGAGUGGUCCAGUAGGGGGCGCUGUAGUUGGGGAAGGGUAAGGUUGGAGUGGUCCAGUAGGGGGCAGUCUAGUUGGGGAAGGGUAAGGUUGGAGUGGUCCAGCAGGGGGCGCUGUAGUUGGGGAAGGGUAAGGUUGGAGUGGUCCAGUAGGGGGCAGUCUAGUUGGGGAAGGGUAAGGUUGGAGUGGUCCAGUAGGGGGCGCUGUAGUUGGGGAAGGGUAAGGUUGGAGUGGUCCAGCAGGGGGCGCUGUAGUUGGGGAAGGGGAAGGUUGGAGUGGUCCAGCAGGGGGCGCUGUAGUUGGGGAAGGGUAAGGUUGGAGUGGUCCAGUAGGGGGCAGUCUAGUUGGGGAAGGGUAAGGUUGGAGUGGUCCAGCAGGGGGCGCUGUAGUUGGGGAAGGGUAAGGUUGGAGUGGUCCAGUAGGGGGCAGUCUAGUUGGGGAAGGGUAAGGUUGGAGUGGUCCAGCAGGGGGCGCUGUAGUUGGGGAAGGGUAAGGUUGGAGUGGUCCAGUAGGGGGCGCUGUAGUUGGGGAAGGGUAAGGUUGGAGUGGUCCAGCAGGGGGCGCUGUAGUUGGGGAAGGGUAAGGUUGGAGUGGUCCAGCAGGGGGCAGUCUAGUUGGGGAAGGGUAAGGUUGGAGUGGUCCAGCAGGGGGCGGUGUAGUUGGGGAAGGGUAGUGUUGGAGUGGCCCAACUUUGGCGGAGGGGGAGGUGUGGCUUGGGACUGAGUGAGAGAACUCAAAAAAUGGCGGCCGUGAUGCUAUAACUCUGUGUGGCCUGUCUAACACACGAGAGCGGAUGAGAGACUAGGGGGUAACUCUUGUCACUCUUGGAGAAGGAGAACGAGAAAAAG